rnacentral:rRNA from 1 species
AGCGAACGCUGGCGGCAGGCUUAACACAUGCCAGUCGAGCGGGCAUCUUCGGAUGUCAGCGGCAGACGGGUGAGUAACACGUGGGAACGUACCCUUCGGUUCGGAACAACUCUGGGAAACUGGAGCUAAUACCGGAUACGCCCUUAUGGGGAAAGGUUUACUGCCGAAGGAUCGGCCCGCGUCUGAUUAGCUAGUUGGUGGGGUAACGGCCUACCAAGGCGACGAUCAGUAGCUGGUCUGAGAGGAUGAUCAGCCACACUGGGACUGAGACACGGCCCAGACUCCUACGGGAGGCAGCAGUGGGGAAUAUUGGAUAAUGGGCGCAAGCCUGAUCCAGCCAUGCCGCGUGAGUGAUGAAGGCCUUAGGGUUGUAAAGCUCUUUUGUCCGGGACGAUAAUGACGGUACCAGAAGAAUAAGCCCCGGCUAACUUCGUG